CAGCACCUCAAGUGGUCAGGAUGAUUAUUGGGCCUAAAGCAUCCGUAGCCUGCCUUGUUAGUUUUCGGUUAAAUCCAUACGCUCAACGUAUGGGCUGCCGGGAAUACUGCAAAGCUAGGGAGUGGGAGAGGUAGACGGUACUCGGUAGGAAGGGGUAAAAUCCUUUGAUCUAUUGAUGACCACCUGUGGCGAAGGCGGUCUACCAGAACACGUCCGACGGUGAGGGAUGAAAGCUGGGGGAGCAAACCGGAUUAGAUACCCGAGUAGUCC
rnacentral:rRNA from 1 species